GGCGUCGUAGAUCAACGUAGAUCGUUCUCAGCCUUUGGCGUAGUUCUGGUUUGAGGAGAGACACGCGGGUUCGACCCCCGCCGACGCCG